AUACUUGUAGUUCAGCGGUAGAACGCUCGCUUUACAUAGCAACUUGCGAGAGGUCCAGUGGUUCGAUUCCCUGCAAGUGCA
rnacentral:tRNA from 1 species